GAGUUUGAUCAUGGCUCAGAACGUACGCUGGCGGCACGCCUAACACAUGCAAGUCGAACGAAGUAGCAAUACUUAGUGGCAGACGGGUGAGUAACAUGUAGGUAUCUGCCCUUUGGCCUGGAAUAACACGAGGAAACUUGUGCUAAUACCGGAUAAGUCUUUACGGAGAAAGCUUUAUGCACCAUUGGAUGAGCCUGCACUUGAUUAGUUUGUUGGUGGGGUAAUGGCCUACCAAGACUGUGAUCAAUAGCUGAUUUGAGAGGAUGAUCAGCCACAUUGGGACUGAGACACGGCCCAAACUCCUACGGGAGGCAGCAGUGGGGAAUCUUGCACAAUGGAGGAAACUCUGAUGCAGCGAUGCCGCGUGAGUGAAGAAGGCCCUUGGGUUGUAAAGCUCUUUCGUCGGGGAAGAAAAUGACUGUACCCGAAUAAGAAGGUCCGGCUAACUUCGUGCCAGCAGCCGCGGUAAUACGAAGGGACCUAGCGUAGUUCGGAAUUACUGGGCUUAAAGAGUUCGUAGGUGGUUGAAAAAGUUAGUGGUGAAAUCCCAGAGCUUAACUCUGGAACUGCCAUUAAAACUUUUCAGCUAGAGUAUGAUAGAGGAAAGCAGAAUUUCUAGUGUAGAGGUGAAAUUCGUAGAUAUUAGAAAGAAUACCAAUUGCGAAGGCAGCUUUCUGGAUCAUUACUGACACUGAGGAACGAAAGCAUGGGUAGCGAAGAGGAUUAGAUACCCUCGUAGUCCAUGCCGUAAACGAUGUGUGUUAGACGUUGGAAAUUUAUUUUCAGUGUCGCAGGGAAACCGAUAAACACACCGCCUGGGGAGUACGACCGCAAGGUUAAAACUCAAAUGAAUUGACGGGGACCCGCACAAGUAGUGGAGCAUGUGGUUUAAUUCGAAGAUACGCGCAGAACCUUACCAACACUUGACAUGUUCGUCGCGACUCUAAGAGAUUAGAGUUUUCGGUUCGGCCGGACGAAACACAGGUGCUGCAUGGCUGUCGUCAGCUCGUGUCGUGAGAUGUUGGGUUAAGUCCCGCAACGAGCGCAACCCUCACUUUUAGUUGCCAUCAUUAAGUUGGGCACUCUGAAAGAACUGCCAGUGAUAAGCUGGAGGAAGGUGGGGAUGACGUCAAGUCCUCAUGGCCCUUACGUGUUGGGCUACACACGUGCUACAAUGGUAUCUACAACAGGAAGCAAGACUGCGAAGUUUAGCAAAUCCUUAAAAGAUACCUCAGUUCGGAUUGCACUCUGCAACUCGAGUGCAUGAAGCUGGAAUUACUAGUAAUCGUGGAUCAGCGUGCCACGGUGAAUGCGU
rnacentral:rRNA from 1 species